GAUCCUGGCUCAGGAUGAACGCUAGCUACAGGCUUAACACAUGCAAGUCGAGGGGCAGCAUGGUCUUAGCUUGCUAAGGCCGAUGGCGACCGGCGCACGGGUGAGUAACGCGUAUCCAACCUGCCUUACACUCUUGGACAGCCUUCUGAAAGGGAGAUUAAUACAAGAUGUUAUCAUGAGUAAGCAUUUUCGCAUGAUUAAAGGUUUUACCGGGUGUAAAGAUGGGGGAUGCGUU
rnacentral:rRNA from 1 species